UACGUAGGUGGCAAGCGUUGUCCGGAAUUAUUGGGCGUAAAGCGCGCGCAGGUGGUCCUUUAAGUCUGAUGUGAAAGCCCACGGACUCGAACCGUCGGAGGGUCAUUGGAAACUGGGGGACUUGAGUGCAGAAGAGGAUAGUGGAAUUCCAAGUGUAGCGGUGAAAUGCGUAGAGAUUUGGAGGAACACCAGUGGCGAAGGCGACUAUCUGUCUGUAACUGACACUGAGGCGCGAAAGCGUGGGAGCAAACAGGG
rnacentral:rRNA from 1 species